GAUUUAAUUGCUGAUUAUGCAUGAUUAACUAGAUCUGAAAUUUGAAUGCAUGUGAUGCAAUGUUUAUGUUAACAUAUGUAACAUGAAUAAAUCUGAAAACAUAAAAUUGUUUAGAUUAGAUCUAAAUAAUAAAUAUGAUUCAUUUAAUCACUGAUUUUAAAAGAAUUAUCAGAUCUGAAAACAAAUGCAAAAGUUGUAUGAUGUUUGAAUUAAUUCAUGACAGCUUAUAUAUAUAUGAUGUAUGAACAUGAAUCGUAAUG
rnacentral:lncRNA from 1 species